CCUUCCAAAUAGGUUUUGGUUUAUGAGCUCUUCAUAGCCUGGUGAUCUGAGAAGUCAGAAGUAUUCCUACAACUCCUGUCAAAGGCAAUCGAGGUUUCUAACCACUAGCUGUAUGGAUUUAAUUUGCACCCAUGACCUAUCUGUCUCUAGAGAUCACCUAAUGCCAUGUGAUUUGUGCUAGGAAUCCAUAAAUGAUCUGUCCUCCGGCAGCCACUGCAUCAAAUCUGUCUACUUCCAGUGGACUUUGGAAUGUUGAAAUGAGUGUAUAGUGCUGCCACCUCUCCUCCGACCUGCAUCAGACCUGCUGAGCCUGAACCAUACAGAUAAAGAAAAACAGCCAACAACCAACCAACAACUCAACAACAUCAAUCCAACAACAACCUAACAACCCCAUCUAUCAGGGAUCUAGCAUUUAGAUACCCUCUGAAAAGUUCCCAGAAUCUCAAACAUCACAAAAUCAUAGAAACUUGUCUGUAGCUGGGAAAAUCAUGCCCCAUUAGAGCACGAGGCAAAUCAUAGUCACCUUCUGUGGACAAUCUAAACAGCCCCA